rnacentral:lncRNA from 1 species
GAGCAUCUGGGCCAAGUUCAGGGCUGGUGCUCUCGUUCAGAUAGAUUUAGCUGGUGGUGCAGAGAUCCGUGAGCUUGCUUUUACAGGACUUUAAUGAUAUAUAAAAGCAGCACGAGGUGCUCCUGACUGUGGAUUAAUUUGGAGAUGACUUUCUCUGUUGAAGAGUAGCAAGACUCUCGCGAGUUCUUAAAAAUGCACUUGUUUGGUAUGAGAAUGAAAAGCAGUGGCUGAAGAACCAAUCUUCAAUGGGCAAGCCUUCUCUGACAUCAAUAUCUGGCUUUGAGUGGCACAAAGAAAUAAAGGAAUGUGGAUUCAGACCUCACUGGGAUGCUUGGCAAUUCUAAUUCUACCCCAGACUGCAAAUGGACACACAACUGUUGUGACUUUUGUUGAAGAGGAGAAGGAUGGAAGCUGGAUUCAGAAGCACACAGGUCUGGGGAUGCAGGCUUCGGCCAGCCUGAUGCAAGGAAAGACUGCCAUCUCGUGGUCAGCUCAAUCCUGGCACCUUGGUGAGGGACCAGGCUGCAGAAAACCAGGCUUGGGGAGGAAACGGUGCUGCAAACUGGAUUUCUGCCGGACAGUGUGGAUGCCCUUAGAAAACACCCAGAAAAGAGCUGAGUGCCCCCCAAGACUUGCCCUGAAUUCUUUCAUGUGCAAUAUCCGAAAACCCUCUCUUGGGGCCUGGAUCAGGACCCCUUUCCUAUAACAUCUUUCUGGCGACAACAAAGGGACAAUGGUGUGGAAUCCCCCUUCCCAAAUGCUACUUUUAGAUAUCACCUUUUGUCGGAACUUGGAGUUGGUAAUGACCUUCACCAUACCACCACUCUGGGACUGAGCUUCUCUCUACCCUGAUGCAAGAGACCCUAAUAGGCAGGAAUAUGACCACCCCUAUUCAGCCUGAAGAAGUUACAGAAGUUCUGAAACCCUUAGAAAUGAGGGUCUUCUUGUAAAGGGAGUGGGGAGAUAUAUCAGAGGCAUUUGAACCAGAGCAACUCCAUCUUGAGUGAGGGCUAGGAAAAUGAGGCUAGGACUUGCUGGGCUGCAUUCUCAGAAAGUCAGUCAUUCCUAGCCUCUAGAUGUUUACGGUUAAGGGAACAAAUUUAUAACAUUUACUAAACACACCCAGACUUGGGAGUGUCCAGAUAUCCCAAUAUCUGGAGAACAAAGGCAUUCCUAAUUUUGCUUUAAAGACAAUAAUAUUGAUUCUUGCAAAAUAUAGUAAUUAAGAAAAUUAAUCCUUUAUCACAAACCCUUGUAGUAAAACACAUCUCCCCAUAUAUACAAGCAUUGUACCUAAGGUGGAUGCGUUCCAUCUCUUACUUUCAGGAAUGUCCUACACUAUCUAAGGAGUAGCUGUACUUUCACCACUUUACUUUCUUAAUAAACUUGUUUUUACUUUGCA